CAGUAGCCGCGGUAAUGCGAAGGGUGCAAGCGUUAAUCGGAACUACUGGGCGUAAAGCGUGCGUAGGCGGUUUGUUAAGUCUGUUGUGAAAUCCCCGGGCUCAACCUGGGAAUGGCAGUGGAUACUGGCAAGCUAGAGUGUGUCAGAGGAUGGUGGAAUUCCCGGUGUAGCGGUGAAAUGCGUAGAGAUCGGGAGGAACAUCAGUGGCGAAGGCGGCCAUCUGGGACAACACUGACGCUGAGGCACGAAAGCGUGGGGAGCAAACAGGAUUAGAUACCCCCGUAGUCCCUGUCUCUUAUAC
rnacentral:rRNA from 1 species